AAACCAAUGAUUGGCAAUGAUUGCAGCUUAUAUAGUAGGAUCUAAGGGGCAAAUUGGAGAAUUAAAUCUGAAAUGAUUCAAUCUGCACCAUCCAGCUGGCAUUAAGUGAAGGACACAUGCUGUCAUGGAAUUGGUAUUGCACAUCGUCCGCUUUGCACUACAGCGGUCAAGCCAAGGAUUACAAAGGUUAGGCUUUGAAGCUUCAUUGCCGGUUGCAUUCGGGUUGAGAUGGCCUUGCUGCAAGCAUCGUGUUCCCAUCUGAUGGCAGGGCUCGGAGCAAUUCAGUCUCGGUUCCAAUUGCUGAUUACUCGCAAAGGAUUCUCGUAAGGUGAUCCAGUUGUAAGCUUUUCAGCAAAAGCAGACGUAGCAGUUUCAAACUUUCUUCAACAGGACGCCCUCCAGGUCGAAUGGCAUGCUGGACAAGACGAAGGCUAAGUGGUGCGUAUCCGGAGAAGACAUGAACAACAUCAUUGGGGGUUGGCUGUAUCGGUAUCUUCAACCACAAGCUCCAGAGUACAUUUUAUAGUAAGCCAAUUACUUCUUGACUCCGCAACAAUUUUGAGCUUUUAGUAUUUUACGAUGACACAUGGGACUGAGUCGCGGUGCAUCACAAUAAUGCAAGUUGAGGUGACAACACCAACAGGUGUGGGAAAAAUCCUUCUUUUCUUCAUUCUCGUAACAGGAAGAGUACAAGAAUCGACUGAAAACUCGUACUGCAUCAUGUGAAUCCCCAACAAUUGAGAUUGACCACCAUCGAUUGGAGCGAUCCGCUUGCUUCAGCAUACCUCCCAAUACCGAAGAAGCCACCGCAAUGAUGUUAGAAUGAGCAUAAACAAUGCCACUGCUAUCAGUAUUUAUGCGAACCUCGGCCUUGUAACCUUCAUUGAAAAGACGCUUCCACAAAUCUCUUGUAGCAGUAGGGACACAGCUGCUUCGCCGUCUGGGUGCUAAAUUGUUCAUCACCACAUACUUGCAAGGAUAACCUGUUGCUGCUGGUAGUAGUUGUAGGACUGUCAUGGCUGUUAUAUUAUGUGGUGUUUUAGGCACAGGUCUAUGGCAGGUUAGUCAUGGCUGUUCUGCAGCAUGGCUGCAACUUCGAACUUAUGACCAACGCAGGUAGCGUACACUGGCCGGUGGAAUGGUUUCGAGAUGCUCACUUUGGUCCAACCUUUUCCUGAUUCUGCACAGCAGGGUUGGAUCCUGUUGGAUGCUGCAGAUGCUGCCGGUAAAUUGAAUAUGCUGCUGGAUGUUGUGUUGGCCUGUUGUAAAUGCAGGUUGUUCAUGAUGGUGGUCGUGAGGCCCAUACAAGUCUGCAACAGGUCAUGGUGGUAUGGAUGAGCAAACAUGGCUAAGUAAAGGGUUGGACCUGGCACGGCAUAACAGUGGAAUUUUUGAAGUCACAAAAGUCAAACCAAGGAUCAACAUAGGGCUGAGACAUAGGGUUAGGAUCAGAGAUUAUGGACUUAGGAUUUUUUGGGAUGGGGUUGACUUUGGUCAAAGUUGACCAAAAAGUCAACCGUUGACCAAAGUCAACCUUGGUCAA